GGGGUGGAUGAUAACAUUGGCAAGAGUAGGAAGAUCCUGACUGCAAUGUCCAAAAGAAUGGACAAGAACAAGUGGAUCAUUGGUGGAAUCAUUCUCGCUCUGGUGCUUGCAAUUCUACUGAUCCUCUACUUCAAGCUUGCCCGCUGAUUGGUAUUCAUGGGAAAACGUUCCUCUUGUAUGUUUGGGUGUGGGUGCAGAUCUGGUGUACAUGUUUUCUUUUCUUCUCCGGAGUGAUGAGCUGUGUGUAAUAAAAUUCUUUAACUUGUUACUGAAAUAUUUU
rnacentral:misc_RNA from 1 species